rnacentral:rRNA from 1 species
CAGUAGCCACGGUAAUACGGAGGGGGCUAGCGUUGUUCGGAAUUACUGGGCGUAAAGCGCACGUAGGCGGCUUGGUAAGUUAGAGGUGAAAGCCUAGAGCUCAACUCCAGAAUUGCCUUUAAGACUGCCGAGCUAGCAGGUGAGAGAGGUAAGUGGAAUUCCGCGUGUAGCAGUGAAAUGCGUAGAUAUGCGGAGGAACACCGAUGGCGAAGGCAGCCCCCUGGGCCAAUACUGACGCUCAUGCACGAAAGCGUGGGGAGCAAACAGGAUUAGAUACCCCCGUAGUCCCUGUCUCUUAUAC